AAAAUGCAACCUGCUAACAGACUGAAAAGAAGAAGAAAAAAGGAACUCGAAGCUCACUGUAAACCGAAGCUCACUGAUUGGUUUUAUCAGUAUAAAUUGUUGGUAUUAUUGUGUAAUAGCCUGCAUUCCCUGCAGUCGAACGUUAAUCGUAAUACUUCUAAAUCCCGAGGCGUUUAAAAGGAACCGAAGACAACUGUAGGAGAAGUUUAAAAGCGAGCGUAUGGGACUGUUACCGCGACUGACCAACGCCUAACAACUUUGUGUGGAGCUCACUUUUUAUUCGGUUGAACCCUGACCACGCCCACCUGAGGACCAUCACACGUGAACAAUGCACAUGGAAUUCCUUCCCAUACUCCUUUGCCAUUCUAAUUUGCAUUCCAAAAGCUCCUGCAGCUGAUUGGUUAGGCUUGAAUCCAAGAAGCUGAUGGAUCAGACAGAGGAUGCACUAUAUUAACACCACAUAGGGGAGACUGAACUCACCAUUGUAAGGUAGACACUGGGAUGCUCUGGAUGGAUACUGAACUCACCUUCGUAAGAACUGAAGUCUGAAAUGUCAGGACAUACUGAAACACCACAACUGCUCAUGUCAGUGAAGGAAGAGAUCAAAGAAGAAGAAUUUGAUGAUUUCCUGCAGGAGUAUCUUUCUGCAAUUCCGAAAGUGGAAGAAAAGCCUGGACUGGAAGCUGACUGUAAGACUGAAAUAUACACAUCACCAAUCUUGACCCACAAAGAAGAUGAGUAUUCACCAGUGGAAAUUAAACAGGAGGAAACAUCUGAUUUGAGAGAAUAUGGUCACCAUGACUCUACUCCUACAGGAGACGUUCAAAGGAUCCAUUCUAGCAAAAGGAGUACAGAGGAAAGAAGAAAGAAUGUC